rnacentral:rRNA from 1 species
GAUGAACGCUAGCGGGAGGCCUAACACAUGCAAGCCGAGCGGUAUUGUUUCUUCGGAAAUGAGAGAGCGGCGUACGGGUGCGUAACACGUGUGCAACCUGCCUUUAUCUGGGGGAUAGCCUUUCGAAAGGAAGAUUAAUACUCCAUAAUAUAUUGAACGGCAUCGUUUAAUAUUGAAAGCUCCGGCGGAUAGAGAUGGGCACGCGCAAGAUUAGCUAGUUGGUGAGGUAACGGCUCACCAAGGCGAUGAUCUUUAGGGGGCCUGAGAGGGUGAUCCCCCACACUGGUACUGAGACACGGACCAGACUCCUACGGGAGGCAGCAGUGAGGAAUAUUGGUCAAUGGGUGCAAGCCUGAACCAGCCAUCCCGCGUGAAGGACGACUGCCCUAUGGGUUGUAAACUUCUUUUGAAUAGGGAUAAACCUACCCUCGUGAGGGUAGCUGAAGGUACUAUACGAAUAAGCACCGGCUAACUCCGUG